GCUUUUGUAGUGUAGUUGUCAGCACGCUCGGCACGUAUUCGAGAGGUCAGUGGUUCGAGUCCCGGCGAGGGCA
rnacentral:tRNA from 1 species